GCCAGCACUACUGGACUACUGCUAAAUUAUCUACUUCAGCUCUUGUUCAAUUACAUGCACCACAUUAAAGAGCUCAAAAGGAAGUGCCGAAAAGACUGAAAAAGCAGGAAAAGAAAACCCUGGCAUGUUAGUGAAAAGCUACUUAAGCACAGCAAACUGACAAUAUCACCCAGGAUGUAGAGUGAACUCUUCAGCACAAUAUUUUACCAAGGAGGAGCUGCAUACUGGGAGUCUGUGUAAAGGAAGUUUCUUUUUCUUUCUGAAGUGCUACAAUUGCUACCUGGAGAAUGAGGGAAAAAAACACAACCUAUCCCAUAUUGAGGAGGAUACUGAGAUGUUUCAUCAAGAAAAGAUGAAACUGGCUGGCGCAGUGGCUCACGCCUGUAAUCCCAGCACUUUGGGAGGCCGAGGUGGGUGGAUCACCUGAGGUCGGGAUUUCGAGACCAGCCUGACCAACAUGGAAAACCCUGUCUCUACUAAAAACACAAAAUUAGCUGGGCGUGAUGGUGCAUGCCUGUAAUCCCAGCUACUCGGGAGGCUGAGGCAGGAGAAUCACUUGAACCCGGAAGGCAGAGGUUGCGGUGAGCCGAGAUUGCACCACUGUACUCCAGCCUGGGCAACAAGAGUGAAACUCUGUCUCAAAAAAGAAAAGAAAAGAAAAGAUGAAACUGACACAUCAGAGAAUUCUCUGACUCAUGAGAUGGAGACAUCUGCUACAGAGAAAGUGGGCUAAACUGUAAAUAAAGACAAAAAAUGUGAGGAAAGUUAUUUUUCCCUUGCCUUUACAGAUGUUAAUGAUUUACCUUAUUGUGUCUUAUGCAACAAUAUUUUGAAUACUGUUAUGGUGCAAGUUAACUGCCACAUCAGUUUGAGACCAAUCAUUCAGAGUCUGAAGAAAAAAAAUUUAAAUGCAGAUGUGAUAAAUUAAUAUGUCACCAAGAGAACUGUACUUCUGCCUUACAAUAGAAUCUCUGGACUUACUGUAUUGCUUGUACUUGUCUGGUAUCAGCACCAACUUAAGCACAGAAGCUCUUUUAUAUGAAAGUUGGCCACACACCCAAGUGGUAGGGAAAUACUUAAAGUACUGAAUAACUAUUUUGAAUCUCCUGGUUUUUCCUGGAAUAACCGUGUUGACAUUUGCACUGAUAGCGCAAAAGCAACAGUGGGUAACACAGCUGUGUCUCAGUGGGAAUCAGAGCCGAGACAGCCCUCACGCUACUCUUCACCACCACACACACACAGUCGAAACACUGCAUUUUCACAUAUGAAUGUCUGAUGAAGCAGUUUAACAUACUGACUUUAUUAAACUGUUGCCCUCAAGGAUACUUUUAAAAAAGAAUUCUGUACGGUGAAAAGGAAAGUGUGCAUAAAGCACUUCUGCUUCAUAACAAAAAAAGACGGUUGCCUGGAGAAAAGCACUCCACUUGUACACCUGCACAACUCUUUCAGCAGUGGGCUCACUUGACCACUUUUUGUCAUGGAAAUUGACCUGAAAGAAUGACUAGCAGACAGGCAGUGGUCAGUCACAUUUUAGGAUUAGGCACAUACUUUCUCAAUAAUUAGCAAAGUGACUCAGUCCCCUAAGGAAAAUGACUGACAGUGUUUGUAGCCCAUGAUAAAUUUUAGCUUUUAAGCAGAAAUUAGAAUCUUGGAAAAUCUAUGUCCACCAACAUAAGCUUGACAGCUUCCCAAUACUUAAAGUCAUUUCUGAUGAGCUCCAUGGUGGCAGUAAUGACUAUAGGUUUUGAUACUGCAUAUGAAAUAUGUCAAUGUUUGGAAGAUAUACAUAACUCAAUGAAUGAAGAUUUUCCAAAUGAACCAUGCAUAAUGCUACAAAAUUAUGUGUGUUGGCAAAAAAGAUCCAUUGAAAGUGCAAGACAGACCAAUGGGUUUCUAAUGUAACAGAGUAUGGAAAGUUAACUGACAUAAUUUCAGAUUCCACAUUGCAACUACCCUUUAAAAAAUGACCAUUUUCAAAUUUUGGUGAGCUAUCAAAGCAGAAUUAUCCACAAUGAUCUGCAAUGGCUACUAGAAUAUUCCCGCCUUUCCCAAUUACUAUCUAUGUGGGGCUGGAUUUUCUUCAUACACUUCAACCAAAACAACACGUCCCACCAGAAGCAGAUAUGAGAAUUCAGCAGUCUUAGGGUAGAAAAUGAGACUUGCAAAAAUGUAAAAACAAUGCUGCUUUUGUCAAACAUUUUUUUUUUUGCCUUGGAAAAGAGCAUUGCUUUUCAUAAAAAUAAGCUAUUUGUGUUAACGUGUAAUAAAAUUAUUUUUAUUUUUUAAGUAACAAACACAUUUUUAAAAAUUUAGUUUCAAAUAUGAUAAAUAUUAAUAAGGGUUUAACAGAUUUUUAAAACUCUUGGGAAUGUAUGAACACAAAGAAGGAAACAAUAGUCGCUGGGGCCUACCUGAGCAACGGUAGGAGGGAGAGGAGCAGAAAAGGUAACUACUGGGGACUGAGCUUAAUACCUGGGUGAUGAAAUAAUAUGUACAACAAAACCCUAUGACAUGUGUUUACCUAUGUAACAAACCUUCACAUGUACCCCCAAACCUAAAAUAAAAGUUAAAAAUAAAAAAAUAAAAUGUUUUGGGAUCCUCAGUAAUUUUUUUUUUUUUUGAGAUGGAGUCUCGCUCUGUUGCCCAGGCUGGAGUGCAGUGGCACAAUCUCGGCUCACUGCAAUCUCCGCCUCCCAGGUGGAAGCGAUCCUCCUGACUCAGCCCCCCUAGUAGCUGGGAUUAGAGGCACACACCACCAUGCUUGACUAAUUUUUGCAUUUUUAGUAGAGACA
rnacentral:lncRNA from 1 species